rnacentral:rRNA from 1 species
CAUGCAUGUCUCAGUACAAGCCAAAUUAAGGUGAAACCGCGAAAGGCUCAUUAAAUCAGUUAUGGUUCCUUAGAUCGUACCACAUUUACUUGGAUAACUGUGGUAAUUCUAGAGCUAAUACAUGCAAACAGAGCUCCAACCAGAGAUGGAAGGAGCGCUUUUAUUAGAUCAAAACCAAUCGGUGGCGGGUUCGCUCGUCAUCGUAUAACUUGGUGACUCUGAAUAACUUUAAGCUGAUCGCACGGUCUUGCACCGGCGACGCAUCUUUCAAAUGUCUGCCUUAUCAACUGUCGAUGGUAGGUUCUGCGCCUACCAUGGUUGUAACGGGUAACGGGGAAUCAGGGUUCGAUUCCGGAGAGGGAGCCUGAGAAACGGCUACCACAUCCAAGGAAGGCAGCAGGCGCGCAAAUUACCCACUCCCGGCACGGGGAGGUAGUGACGAAAAAUAACGAUACGGGACUCAUCCGAGGCCCCGUAAUCGGAAUGAGUACACUCUAAACCCUUUAACGAGGAUCAAUUGGAGGGCAAGUCUGGUGCCAGCAGCCGCGGUAAUUCCAGCUCCAAUAGCGUAUAUUAAAGUUGUUGCGGUUAAAAAGCUCGUAGUCGAAUCUGUGUCCCGCGCCGCCGGUUCAUCGUCCGCGGUGUUAACUGGCGUGUCGCGGGACGUCCUGCCGGUGGGCUUAGCCCGCAAGGGCGGCCCAACUCAAUCCCACCGUGGUGCUCUUUACUGAGUGUCGGGGUGGGCCGGCACGUUUACUUUGAACAAAUUAGAGUGCUUAAAGCAGGCUAAAACUUCGCCUGAAUACUGUGUGCAUGGAAUAAUGGAAUAGGACCUCGGUUCUAUUUUGUUGGUUUUCGGAACCCCGAGGUAAUGAUUAAUAGGAACGGAUGGGGGCAUUCGUAUUGCGACGUUAGAGGUGAAAUUCUUGGAUCGUCGCAAGACGGACAGAAGCGAAAGCAUUUGCCAAAAACGCUUUCAUUGAUCAAGAACGAAAGUUAGAGGUUCGAAGGCGAUCAGAUACCGCCCUAGUUCUAACCAUAAACGAUGCCAGCUAGCAAUCCGCAAACGUUCCUCCGAUGACUUUGCGGGCGGCUUUUCGGGAAACCAAAGCUUUUGGGUUCC